rnacentral:rRNA from 1 species
AGCGUAUAUUAAAGUUGUUGCAGUUAAAAAGCUCGUAGUUGAAUUUCGGGGUUAGUAGGUUGGUCAUGCCUCUGGUAUGUACUGGUCUCACUGAUUCCUCCUUCCUGAUGAGCCGUAAUGCCAUUAAUUUGGUGUUGCGGGGAAUUUGGACUGCUACUUUGAAAAAAUUAGAGUGUUUAAAGCAAGCUAACGCUUGAAUACAUUAGCAUGGAAUAAUGAAAUAGGACGUUCGAUCCUAUUUUGUUGGUUUCUAGGAUUGACGUAAUGAUUAAUAGGGAUAGUUGGGGGCAUUAGUAUUCAAUUGUCAGAGGUGAAAUUCUUGGAUUUAUUGAAGACUAACUACUGCGAAAGCAUUUGCCAAGGAUGUUUUCAUUAAUCAAGAACGAAAGUUAGGGGAUCGAAGACGAUCAGAUACCGUCGUAGUCUUAACCAUAAAC